ensembl:lncRNA
UCAUUUUCUGUUUGUCAGGCAUCCUAUUGCACCUUAAACAUCUGAAUUAUUCCUCCCACUUUUAGCAGCAACGCUGUCCAGGUAGAUUGUGCUCCUUUGUCUUGCUUUGUGCAAGUAUUUUGUCAGGGUAGCUUUGUUUGUUGUACCUUAAUCACUGUUUCUUCUUACUCACUGGCCUUAGCUCUGCCAGCAGGUACAGAAGAAGAGGUUGUUUGUUUGAAGAAACAAGGGUGUGGUGGAAAGACUUCAUGCCAGUCAAGUCAAUGAAAAUACUAUCUGAGUUACAAAGCAUGCUGGAAAACAAAAUUAAACAGAAGAUCUGGGCCCCACCUGCGCUCUCCCAGGAGAGACUGAGAGAAAAGGAGUUCUGGGAGCUGGGAAUGCAUAGCUCCCUGCAGUUAUGUGUGAGCCUUAGGGAGCACAUGGGGUGCAUAUGGGCCAAAGGACCAGCCUAUGUAAGCAGAAUGAGUUGUCCAACAGCAUUUUUGAAAAUAGUAGGUGUCCAGGUAAGAACAGCCAAGAGGCUGGACUUGCAUUUGAAAAGCAUUAAGGGCAAGUGAGAAAUUUAAUUUGAUUUAUUCCCCCAAUAGACUUUAAGAGGUAUGAAAAAAGGAUAGAGGUGACUUCAGGCAAGAGAAAACUUUCAGUGGAAAACAAAAAUCUAUAGAGGGCUUUACUGUAGACUCAUUCCCUUCUUGCUUCCAUUGGUUUUGUUCCUCUGUAGCUCCUUGUUUGCUGUGAGGUUACUGAUAGACCACGCUACUGCAAGUGGAUUCAGGCCUCAAAAUUCUGUCUGGUCAGAACAAAAAUCAUGUUCGUGCUGCAUAUUGAUUCAAACUGCAGAUAUUGGAGCAAAUGGGAGUUUAAAGCCUGUCUCAUGCUAUCAGUAUUCUUUAGACAUUUACUUUGCUGCCUUCCACUGUUUAGAACACCCUAAAAUCACCAACACAUUUACUGAGUUGAGGUUUAAAAGCGUCUCAGGAACAGAAACAAAUCACAGUUCUUAGCAGUGCUGAUGGUUGGAAGAAUUCUAUUACCAAGGGUGUGCUUUCUGCAUGCAUUUGAGGCCUCUGAAAUGACCCAUCAUGUAUAAAAGCGUCCUAGUUUUUUUCACAAAGACAGUUGGUUAAGAAUUAAACCUAACUCUUGGGAGAAAAAAUGAGUUCAGCAUACCAGAAUACUCAUCUUCCUAAUUCUUACCAUGCUGCAAACUGAAAUCCCAGACCUGCCCAUAUAUUAUGAAACUUCCUCCUUCUUGAAGAAAGCUUUUAUUAUGUUGUGCCUAUAAGCACAAUAAUACCUCUGCAUAUUGAGACAAUGCAGAGGAUACCAAACCCUACCUGUUAGAUCUUAUCCUCUAUAUUGCUGACAUCUUGAUUCUGGUAAACAUCUUGGUGCUUGGUUUUCCAGAAGUCCCCUAAGUCCUACCCCAGACGAAUGGCUUGGGUUGGAAGAAAGCUCACCCAGUUCAAACCUCCUGCCUUGGUCAGGAUUACCAGAUCAGGAUUACUAGAUCAGGCUGCCUAGGGCCCCAUCCAGCCUCAUACAUCUCCUGGGACA